AGCUCUGCGACUGCGCAGCGCCAGCGACUGGGUCUAGGAGGAGGCGGUGGAGCGGCCGUGCUGGGGUCGAAGGGGUCCUUAUGACUGCAGAGCCGCCCCACAGACUCCUCCGGCGUUCCCGGACGCCGCUGACGCACCUGAUUCUCGCGACCUGCAGGAGAAACCUCGGCCGGGGCCGAGGGCCGAGGGCCGAGGGCCGAGGUCGUGACGGGCACGACCGUCUCCCUGCUUGGUUAGGGUUAGGGUCCCGCCGGGCACACCACCCUAUGAUGGAGCCACUGAGAUCGACUGGGCUGAAGGGAACCGGUUGGAAUAAUGAGCCAUGGCAGCAACUUUGCCUGAGAGAGAGGAAGGGCGGGUUGCUGUAGGGCUCCCGAACCGGGCUGCCUGUCAGACACAGCUUGGUUUCUGUUCUUUGUGUCCCAAGUCUGACUCGGGUCGCCAAUUAAGACCCGUGUCAGACUUCUGACCUACAGACUUGCGUCGUUUUAAGCCACUAAAUUUGUGAUAAUUUGUUACAGUAGCAAUAGGAAACAUACAGGUGAGGACCAAGAAUCCUAAUCACAAAUCUUUUUUUUUUGAGACGUGGUCUCACUGUUAUCCAGGCUGGCGCGAUCCUCCCACCUCAGCCUCCUGGAAAGCUAAGACUACAGAUGGGGUUUCGCCAUGUUGCCCAGGACGGUUUUGAACUCCUGGGGCUAAGUGAUCUGCAUUCCUCGGCCUACCAAAGUGCUGGGAUUACAGGUGCGAGCCACCCCUCCUGGCCAACAAGUCUUUCAGUGUAGAAGAGGGAAGCAGAAGAGAUCAAAGUGGUGCCAUGUGAAGGCUCAACCCACCCUUGCAGGAGGAAGGGAGCCAGAGCCAAGCUGGAAGAGGCAAGGAAACAGACCUUUGUGAUUACAUUAGGCCCAUCCAGAUGAUCCAGGAUAAUCUAUUUUACAGUCAUCUGAUUAGCAAUUUAAUUCUCUUUUGUCAUGUUAGGUAACAUAUUCACAUGUUUCAGAGUGGUAGGCCAUUAUUCUGCCUACCAUACCACCCAACACAAAUCUAUAUUAAGACUGUAUCUGAGUGUUGCACAGGAAUCUAUGUCAACAAGCUUCCAGGGUGAUCCUGUGUAUCCUAUAUGAUGCAGCCUAGCAUCUGAGUACCAGAGACUAGCAUCUGGCUGUUAGGUUAACAGAUCAGCUCAUGCACCAAUGGGUAGUCAUGCUGGGACCAAAUGAUGAAGAUAGGUACAACUAGUCCCAGCGAGAGCUGGGAAACUGGGCUGGGAUAUAGAGGAUGUUAAGAAUAGAGUGUCCUCCCAACCCCAGAACUUUUUUUUCUUUUUUUGUGGUAAGGAGGGAGAAGGCUGUUUGGCAAGGAUGUUGUAAACUCUGAGAAAGCAGGAAUUUCGAAAUAGAGUCAAGGGUAGUAUUCAGGGGAAAAUCACCAAAAUUUUUGUGUACCCUAACUGCUGUUUUUUUGUUUGUUUGUGUUUUAGACAGAGUCUCACUCUGUCACCCAAGCUGGAGUGCA